AAUAGAUACCCAGGUAGUCCACGCCGUAAACGAUGAGUGCUAAGUGUUAGAGGGUUUCCGCCCUUUAGUGCUGCAGCUAACGCAUUAAGCACUCCGCCUGGGGAGUACGGUCGCAAGACUGAAACUCAAAGGAAUUGACGGGGGCCCGCACAAGCGGUGGAGCAUGUGGUUUAAUUCGAAGCAACGCGAAGAACCUUACCAGGUCUUGACAUCCCACUGACCGGUAUAGAGAUAUACCUUUCCCUUCGGGGACAGUGGUGACAGGUGGUGCAUGGUUGUCGUCAGCUCGUGUCGUGAGAUGUUGGGUUAAGUCCCGCAACGAGCGCAACCCUUGAUCUUAGUUGCCAGCAUUUAGUUGGGGCACUCUAAGGGUGACUGCCGGUGACAAACCGGAGGAAGGUGGGGAUGACGUCAAAUCAUCAUGCCCCUUAUGACCUGGGCUACACACGUGCUACAAUGGAUGGUACAAAGGGCUGCAAGACUGCGAAGUCAAGCCAAUCCCAUAAAACCAUUCUCAGUUCGGAUUGC
rnacentral:rRNA from 1 species